rnacentral:sRNA from 1 species
AGUCAUAAACCUAAACUACACACGCAAAUCGACACAUUUGCCGGGGUGCUCAGUCGGAUUAAAGCUGGCUUGGGUCGGGAAAUGGGAUUUGCGGAGGCUUAAC